CACAGAGACGUGGCUCUGCCAGCGCCGUGUUCGACAGCAGUUUUCCAGUGCCGCUGCGGUGUGCGUUCCCCGCACGGUCUGCAAAGGGAUUUUCUCGCGUGCCAGCUCCAGCCCUGCUCCCGCUGACCCCUUGCGUGGUCUGUGGCAGGACCAUAGUGGGUAGCCGCGUCGGUGGCUCCCCCUUUUUCCUUUGAGUUCCCCUACCCUUUGUUCCUUCCUGUCCUUUUGGGAUUAAGGAUCACUUCUUAUGAGACUGCUUCCAGGCUCCUGGCCUGCAAGACCCCAGUGAAAAACAGUCACUCCAGGAUGAACUGGCAAAAGCUGUGUAUGCUGGACAGGAGGACUGGAUCUGUCCCAYGGGCUUGAGCUGAGGAGUUUCAGGAUUAUUUGAGGUCUAGCUGGAAAAGAACAGAUGUUCUGCAAAUGACACUGAAAACCCCUCGACUUGCUGAGACUCGGACCUGCCUGUGCCUCCCUGCAUGCAAAAACUGACUAACGGGAAGGAUUUGGAAUAAGGACAGGCUUCCCUCUUGUGAAAAAAAAAUGCCCCACAAUAAACUCUC
rnacentral:lncRNA from 1 species